rnacentral:lncRNA from 10 species
GUUUGAUCUCAGACUGCUGUGCUAGCAAUCAGCGAGACUCCGUGGGCGUAGGACCCUCCUAGCCAGAUACAAAAAGAAAAAUUACUGUCAUGUGAUGUGUGAUCCAUGAUACCGUCAUAGUUUUGUUUUGCUGUGCUCCACCUUCAUACCUUCGCCUAUGUUAGAACUUCUGAGAAGCUGAAGCAUCACAUAUAAAAAGCCAAGACCAUCCUCAAGGAGUUUAAUGAAUGUGGCAUCACAAGAAAAAUAUGCAUCAACAUUGAAAAGAAAAGAAAUAAAAUUCCAUUAACAGAGCUUGAGGAAGUGGACUUGACUAAGCUGGAGUAAGGAGUGCAGAGAGUGAGGAGACAGGAUGCGAAACAAGAGAAAGGUGAAAAGACAUCAGUGAGUUGUGAUUUCCUUCAGCAGCGAACGGAUUCCUUUGAGAAGGCUGGUCAGUGGCACAGGCGGCUCACAGACCCACACGGCAGGCCUUGGGCAUUGUACUAACCCCAUGGGUCAUUUCUGCAGACCAGUGCUGGCCAGGCCCUGGACAGAGGGGCCAGGCCUGGCUUCCCCUCCUUGAGUGUCAAGGGUGAAGUGAGAAGAUAACGUU